rnacentral:rRNA from 1 species
AGGUCUUGACAUCCCGAUGCCCGCUCUAGAGAUAGAGCUUUACUUCGGUACAUCGGUGACAGGUGGUGCAUGGUU